CAGCAGCAGCCGCGGUAAUACAGAGGGUGCGAGCGUUAAUCGGAUUUACUGGGCGUAAAGCGUGCGUAGGCGGCUUUUUAAGUCGGAUGUGAAAUCCCUGAGCUUAACUUAGGAAUUGCAUUCGAUACUGGGAAGCUAGAGUAUGGGAGAGGAUGGUAGAAUUCCAGGUGUAGCGGUGAAAUGCGUAGAGAUCUGGAGGAAUACCGAUGGCGAAGGCAGCCAUCUGGCCUAAUACUGACGCUGAGGUACGAAAGCAUGGGGAGCAAACAGGAUUAGAUACCCCCGUAGUCCCUGUCUCUUAUAC
rnacentral:rRNA from 1 species